rnacentral:rRNA from 1 species
UACGUAGGGUGCGAGCGUUAAUCGGAAUUACUGGGCGUAAAGCGUGCGUAGGCGGUUUGUUAAGUCUGUCGUGAAAGCCCCGGGCUCAACCUGGGAAUGGCGAUGGAUACUGGCGAGCUAGAGUACGGUAGAGGAGAGUGGAAUUCCCGGUGUAGCAGUGAAAUGCGUAGAGAUCGGGAGGAACAUCAGUUGCGAAGGCGGCUCUCUGGACCAGUACUGACGCUGAGGCACGAAAGCGUGGGGAGCAAACGGG